CCCGGUGACCAUAUUGAAAGGGCCACACCUGUUCCCAUACCGAACACAGUAGUUAAGCCUUUCAAGCCGAUGAUAGUGCCAAAAGCGCGAAAGUAGGUAUCGCCGGGU
rnacentral:rRNA from 1 species